UACAAAUCGAUCUUAGCGCGUAUUAUAUAUACAAAUCAAACUAUAUAUCUACAAUCUUCCCGUCGAGGUGUUUCUCGGAGCAUCUAAAUGUCAUCCAUUGUAAUAAAAUUCUCCUUAUGGAUUUACCACCUCGUCCAUAAGGAAUCCAAUGAGACCUUCACAUAUUGCUGCUACUCUUUCUUUCUUCAAGAGUCCUUGUUGAAUAUUUAACAUCUAUAAUUUGGAAAUAUGUGAAUGUUACACGAACAAUUAAAUAUAAGGAGCUAGAAAAUAAUUAACUAGUUUUAUUUUACGUACUUUAAAGUUGUGCGGCAUCAUCUUUACUCCCUUGGGUCCCACAAAACUGUGCAUAUGCUCACAGAUGUAGUAGCCAUAUAGAUUAUUCCCGAGUUCCUAUCUUAAGCACUUGAGUGCGGAAAAAAAUAAGUUAUGAAAUAUUCGUGUUAUACAAUGUACUAAAUGUGUAGACUUGAUACGUACCGGGAAGUCUGUGUUCCAUGUAAGUUUUUCUUUGAAUGGACCUUUGUGUGUCCU
rnacentral:lncRNA from 1 species